rnacentral:rRNA from 1 species
UACGUAGGGUGCGAGCGUUGUCCGGAAUUACUGGGCGUAAAGAGCUCGUAGGCGGUUUGUCGCGUCGUCCGUGAAAACUUGGGGCUCAACCCCAAGCUUGCGGGCGAUACGGGCAGACUUGAGUACUGCAGGGGAGACUGGAAUUCCUGGUGUAGCGGUGAAAUGCGCAGAUAUCAGGAGGAACACCGGUGGCGAAGGCGGGUCUCUGGGCAAUAACUGACGCUGAGGAGCGAAAGCGUGGGGAGCGAACAGG